UCUAUUCUUCAAGCAUAUAGCUGUUUCUUUUUUUUUUUUAUUUCUUAUUGAUUAUGUAUUUAAUACAAUUGUGUCUAUUUUUCAUAUGGAUGGUGACACCCUUAUUCUUUUUACUUUUCUUUUAUCAAGAUAACCAUUAAAGUUCAAAAUCAUGAAUAAAAGAAAAGUAAAAAGAAUAAGAAACAGCUAUAUGCUUGAAGAAUAGANAACAGAUCGAGAGGGAUCUGAUUCAUCCACGUGUCAAAGACCCAACACCUCUGGAAAUCUCAUGCACGCCAGGGCUGAACCCCAAGCAACCCAAUAGCCCUUGCUUGUAAGGCAAAAAGGUUUUCCUUUUCAUCUCCUCUGAAACUGCUCUGUUCACCGUGUAGUGUAAUUCGUGAGCCGAUACAGGAGCUCUUCUCCUGGAGGAGCCACCCAGACUGCCAUCUGUGGAUCGAAAACUGGCAUUCUUGACGUCCUCUGCUAUCUCCUUUUUGGACAAGACUGCAUAUUUUGUCAGUGGGUCUUUUCCUGUUGCUCUUCCCUCUGAUGCACUUCUGAAUAGCAAGAAAUCCUUGAAUUUCCAUUUCUUGCAACCUUUCGAUGAAAAUGAUAUCGCCGACAAGAAAGAAGA
rnacentral:misc_RNA from 1 species